GAUGAACGCUGGCGGCGUGCCUAAUACAUGCAAGUCGAGCGAACAGACGAGGAGCUUGCUCCUCUGACGUUAGCGGCGGACGGGUGAGUAACACGUGGAUAACCUACCUAUAAGACUGGGAUAACUUCGGGAAACCGGAGCUAAUACCGGAUAAUAUAUUGAACCGCAUGGUUCAAUAGUGAAAGACGGUUUUGCUGUCACUUAUAGAUGGAUCCGCGCCGCAUUAGCUAGUUGGUAAGGUAACGGCUUACUAAGGCGACGAUGCGUAGCCGACCUGAGAGGGGGAUCGGCCACACUGGAACUGAGACACGGUCCAGACUCCUACGGGAGGCGGCAGUAGGGAAUCGUCCGCAAUGGGCGAAAGCCUGACGGAGCAACGCCGCGUGAGUGAUGAAGGUCUUCGGAUCGUAAAACUCUGUUAUUAGGGAAGAACAAAUGUGUAAGUAACUAUGCACGUCUUGACGGUACCUAAUCAGAAAGCCACGGCUAACUACGUG
rnacentral:rRNA from 1 species